rnacentral:tRNA from 1 species
GGGGCUGUGGUCUAGCUUGGUAAGAUCCAAGGUUCGGGACCUUGAGACCCCAGUUCAAAUCUGGGCAGCCUCA